ACGAGAAUCUCAUCAAGCGGCUGCACAAGGUGCUGCGACCGUUCCUGCUGCGGAGGCUGAAGAGUGAGGUGGAGAAGCAGAUGCCGAAAAAAUACGAGCACGUCGUUAUGUGUCGUCUGUCUAAGCGUCAGCGCCUGCUCUACGAUGAGUUCAUGUCACAGACAAAAACGAAGGAGACACUGGCCGCUGGUCACUUCAUGAGUGUCAUCAACAUCCUCAUGCAGCUGCGCAAGGUCUGCAACCACCCGGACCUGUUCGACCGCGACCCAUCGUAUCG